rnacentral:lncRNA from 1 species
AUGGGCAAGGACACCUUCCACCGGAUCAGGUUGCUCAAAGCCCCGUCCAGCCUGGCCUUGGACACUUCCAGGGCUGGGACAUCCACAACUUCUCUGGGCAACCUGUUCCAGUGUCUCACGACGCUCACUGUGAAGAACUUCUUAAAAUGUAACCUAAAUCUACCCUAUUUCAGUUUAAAGCCACCCCCCCUUGCCCUAUCACUACUUGCUCUUAUAAAAAGCCCGGGUUCACUACACUUUAACGCCGCCCCCUGGCGGCUUGCCGCCGUUGUAAGGAGCAGUGACUCCUCGUUCCCGCUGGCCAGGAGGGCCCCGUCACCGCCCGGCGGAGCCUUUUGCUGCCACCCCUCCGGAGGCGAGCCCAGCACCGAAGGUCUUGAUGUAACUGGCCGAAAAAUGGUUCUGCAAGAUGACAGCAUCAACUUUAACACUGUUAAAAUGGAGACUAUCUUCACUUUGACAUGA